GAUCAUGGCUCAGGAUGAACGCUAGCUACAGGCUUAACACAUGCAAGUCGAGGGGCAGCAUUUUAGUUUGCUUGCAAACUGAAGAUGGCGACCGGCGCACGGGUGAGUAACACAUAUCCAACCUGCCGAUAACUCCGGGAUAGCCUUUCGAAAGAAAGAUUAAUACCGGAUAGCAUACGAAUAUCGCACUGAUAUUUUUAUUAAAGAAUUUCGGUUAUCGAUGGGAGU
rnacentral:rRNA from 1 species